rnacentral:lncRNA from 1 species
GCUAUAGGUCUCCAAUGUCAGGCUUUCAGAGGACAUGAUGUUAAAAGGAGUUGUAGAAUGUGACUUCUUCCACGGAGUGGAGACAGGCUUCAAAAGCUCCAGUGCAGAAAGACAUCAGUCACCGUGGAAGUUUCCUUUAAAAGCUGCAAUGCCUUCAACCCUCCUGAAGUCCUCAGUUCAUUUUGUCCUUGACAACUGGAGUUCAUCUGCUUUUCAACAAAAUGGCUAACUGAAGUAAAAUAAAAUAAAAUGAA